CUGGUGCCAGCAGCCGCGGUAAUUCCAGCUCCAAUAGCGUAUAUUAAAGUUGUUGCAGUUAAAAAGCUCGUAGUUGAAUUUCGGGGUUAGUAGAUUGGUCGUGCCACUGGUAUGUACUGGUCUUACUGAUUCCUUCUUCCUGAUGAACCGUAAUGCCAUUAAUUUGGUGUUGCGGGGAGACUGGACUGUUACUUUGAAAAAAUUAGAGUGUUUAAAGCAGGCUAACGCUUGAAUACAUUAGCAUGGAAUAAUGAAAUAGGACGUUCGAUCCUAUUUUGUUGGUUUCUAGGAUUGACGUAAUGAUUAAUAGGGAUAGUUGGGGGCAUUAGUAUUCAAUUGUCAGAGGUGAAAUUCUUGGAUUUAUUGAAGACUAACUACUGCGAAAGCAUUUGCCAAGGAUGUUUUCAUUAAUCAAGAACGAAAGUUAGGGGAUCGAAGACGAUCAGAUACCGUCGUAGUCUUAACCAUAAACUAUGCCGACUAGGGAUCGGAUGAUGUUAAUUUUUUAAUGACUCAUUCGGCGC
rnacentral:rRNA from 1 species